UCUCUCUUUGUCUCCCAAAACCCUAGCCCUAAUUUCCAUCCCCGCUCUCCGGCGAGAGAAGAAUUUGAUUGGAGAUUUCGUUGAUCAGUCGAGAGGAGAGUUCGAUUGGAGAUUCCUUUGGUCAAUCGAAUAGCUCCCAUUGGAAACUUUACAUGAUGCUAUUGAAGAUUCACUAGUAUGGCCAGUGCGGAAAAUUGUCCCUAUAAUAACUGGUGAUUAUAGGAAAAUGCAGGCUCCCCAGUUAUUGGGAGGCAUUCGUCACAAGCUAGCCAUUCAACAAACGAUGAACUGAAUUCAAACGAUGCAGGAUGACCACAUAGUGAAAGUUAGUAUGCUAAGGAUGGCAAGUUCUUUUCAGGAGAUUUGUUGAGGAUGCUGCAACAGAAAUGACAUCAUUAUCUUCAUUUACUAUUUUGUUUAUGUUAGUUUCUUAUCUUAUCAUGACAUUAUGUUUUUGGCUAUUAUUAUCUUCUAUUUGAUGAACAAUUAGUGAUUUUCUAUGUUUUUUCCAUUUCUAUAUUGAACUGUAGUGCUUAUAUAAGAUCUGAAUUUAUAUUUUGCUUAACUAGAACUUGUGUUUGAUUGAUCUUUUUAUCUUUUAGUAAUGUUAUGUGUGUGAUUUUUGUUUAUAUAUAACUCUUGAUAUAAGGCAAAGUUUAAUACAUGGUUGAAAAUUGAAUGAUGUUGAAAUGGUCAUGCUCUUGACUUAUUGAUGAUUAGGUAUAUGAAGUACUUUACAUAUAUAUGUUAUUUAUAUUGUUGAUGAUGCAUCUAUAUUGAUUAUCUAUAUACUUGUUUCUAACAUAUAUAUAUAUAUAUAUAUUGUUAAUUAUCUAUAUACUUGUUUGUGAUACAUAGUUGCAGUAGAGAAGGCCAAAG